AAAAGAAAGCGACAGCCGCUUCUGCACGUGUCGUGGAAGACAAAAUCCCUGUUGGGCGACAACAUGUGCCCUGAGAGCACCUCCCGCACCGAGUUCCUCAGGGAUGGAGGUGGAGGACAUCCCCGGCUGGCUCCGGGUGUCCAGCCCUGUUGAGAGGGGGGCACUUCUGGGAGCACACCUGGUGCUAGGGAGACACUUAACAGCCCCAAGGCAGAGCCACAGACGAAUAUGUGUUUUAAGAUUGUCAUCUCAGAUGGAGGAGCCUCCACUGCUGCUGCCCCCAACCCAAAGCCCUGGGAACGGACCUGUCCCAGAGGUCUCACUGGGGCAGGCAGCACAGCUGGGCUUUCUGCAGGUACAGCUGGUGCUUGAGGGAAAGGCCGAAAGGGCAGAUACUGUCUGGUUUGUCUCCAUAACACCACAGUCAUUUUCAAGCGAUAACUUUUGACUCUAAAAGAGUUUCCCAUCAGCUGACCCUGCUCACGAGGAUAAAGAAGGUGGCCUACCUCCGAGAGCGGGGAGCGUGUCCGGACCCCGCGCGCCCGUCUCCCUUGGUCGGCUCGCCGCGCACGCUGCAGAGGCUGCCAGCGCCACGCGGGCUCUCUCCCAGGGCGCAGAAAGGCGGGCAGCAUGGCACCAUAACUGUUGAUCCUAACCCAACUCCUGAUAAAUGUUAGCGAGCUGAGCGAGCCUGAAAUGACUGCUUAAUCCAUACAUAUCAGACAUGAUCUAAACGUACAAAAACAUAGGAGGAGGGAAAAAAAGUAAGUGGGAAAGAGUAGAUAGCUGUUUCUUGCUCCCUUCCAAAUUCCACGUUUUUAAUAAUUCAGGAGAACUGGCAGUGUUUCAAUUGCUGAAAUUACACAGAUAUUUACACUAUUUGUCACUGUAUAAUUACUGCACUAUAUAUCACUAACCUAAAGUGAUUAUGCUGUGUAAAAGCAGUUAAAAACAAACUGGCAAACAUUGAUUAAUCAUCUUUUAGUAGCUCUCCCAUUAUUUAGAAAAGGAAUGUGAUCAUAACCCAGCAAGCAGUUUAUUUAAAAGAGCACAUUAGAAUAAAUAAUUGUAAUGUUAGUAAGCCGUUAGAGGC
rnacentral:lncRNA from 1 species